UACGAAGGGGGCUAGCGUUGCUCGGAAUCACUGGGCGUAAAGGGCGCGUAGGCGGCCAUUCAAGUCGGAGGUGAAAGCCCAGGGCUCAACCCUGGAAUUGCCUUCGAUACUGUCUGGCUGGAGACCGGAAGAGGUAAGUGGAACUGCGAGUGUAGAGGUGAAAUUCGCAGAUAUUCGCAAGAACACCAGUGGCGAAGGCGGCUUACUGGUCCGGUUCUGACGCUGAGGCGCGAAAGCGUGGGGAGCAAACAGG
rnacentral:rRNA from 1 species